rnacentral:lncRNA from 1 species
AUGUGCUCCCUCCCAAUUACAAUCGGACGGUCAGAUUCAAACGCGAUGGACGAUCCAGAUAAGAUUGCGAUGGACGAUCCAGAUUGGAUCGUGAUGAACGGCCUAGAUUCACUCCUUAUUUAAUUGCGAUUGGACGGUUCAGAUCAAACGCGAUAGAUGACACAAAUCAAAAGCGAACAAAAAUAAAUAACUCUCACUCACAUCAAACCCUAACCCUAGCCGCUAGAACCCCUAGCUGGAGAAGAAGACCUGGCCGCCGGGAAGGAGCCGUCGCCACCCG